rnacentral:rRNA from 1 species
CACGUAGGCGGUCCGGUAAGUCGGGUGUGAAAUCCCUCUUCUCAACUGAGGAAGUGCAUUCGAAACUACCGAACUUGAAUAUGGAAGAGGGUCGCGGAAUUCCCGGUGUAGAGGUGAAAUUCGUAGAUAUCGGGAGGAACACCAGUGGCGAAGGCGGCGACCUGGGCCAAUAUUGACGCUGAGGUGCGAAAGCGUGGGGAGCAAACG